UACAGAGGUCCCAAGCGUUGUUCGGAUUCAUUGGGCGUAAAGGGUGCGUAGGCGGCGCGGUAAGUCGGGUGUGAAAUCUCGGAGCUUAACUCCGAAACUGCAUUCGAUACUGCCGUGCUUGAGGACUGGAGAGGAGACUGGAAUUUACGGUGUAGCGGUGAAAUGCGUAGAUAUCGUAAGGAAGACCAGUGGCGAAGGCGGGUCUCUGGAUAGUUCCUGACGCUGAGGCACGAAGGCCAGGGGAGCAAACGGG
rnacentral:rRNA from 1 species